rnacentral:rRNA from 1 species
UAGUCCUAGCUGUAAACGAUGGGCACUACGUUCCGGAGGACCUGAUUCCUUCGGGGCGUGAGCUAAUGCAUUAAGUGCCCCGCCUGGGGAGUAUGGUCGCAAGGCUAAAACUCAAAGGAAUUGACGGGGGCUCACGCAAGCGGUGGAGCAUGUUGUUCAAUUCGAAGCAACGCGAAGAACCUUACCUGGGCUUGACAUGCUAGUGGUACGACCUCGAAAGAGUUAGGACUCCUUAACCGGAGAGCUAGCACAGGUGCUGCAUGGCUGUCGUCAGCUCGUGUCGUGAGAUGUCGGGUUAAGUCCCUUAACGAGCGAAACCCUUAUCUCUAGUUGCCAGCGGGUAAUGCCGGGGACUCUAGAGAGACUGCCGGUGUCAAACCGGAGGAAGGUGGGGAUGACGUCAAGUCCUCAUGGCCUUUAUGUCUAGGGCUGCACACGUCCUACAAUGGCACGUACAAACGGAAGCAAUACCGCGAGGUGGAGCAAAUCCUAGAAAGCGUG